AUUGAACGCUGGCGGCAGGCCUAACACAUGCAAGUCGAGCGGAUGAAGGGAGCUUGCUCCUGGUUUCAGCGGCGGACGGGUGAGUAAUGCCUAGGAAUCUGCCUGGUAGUGGGGGAUAACGUCCGGAAACGGGCGCUAAUACCGCAUUCGUCCUGAGGGAGAAAGUGGGGGAUCUUCGGACCUCACGCUAUCAGAUGAGCCGAGGUCGGAUUAGCUAGUUGGUGGGGUAAAGGCCUACCAAGGCGACGAUCCGUAACUGGUCUGAGAGGAUGAUCAGUCACACUGGAACUGAGACACGGUCCAGACUCCUACGGGAGGCAGCAGUGGGGAAUAUUGGACAAUGGGCGAAAGCCUGAUCCAGCCAUGCCGCGUGUGUGAAGAAGGUCUUCGGAUUGUAAAGCACUUUAAGUUGGGAGGAAGGGCAGUAAGUUAAUACCUUGCUGUUUUGACGUUACCAACAGAAUAAGCACCGGCUAACUUCGUG
rnacentral:rRNA from 1 species